UCGGGUAUGGUGUAACGGCUAACAUUGCCGCCUCUCAUGGCCAUUGGCCCGCUAUGUGCGCGGCAGCUCGGGGUUCGAUUCCCCGUACCCGAA